rnacentral:rRNA from 1 species
GACGAACGCUGGCGGCGUGCUUAACACAUGCGAGUCGAACGGAAAGGCCCUGCUUUUGUGGGGUGCUCGAGUGGCGAACGGGUGAGUAACACGUGAGUAACCUGCCCUUGACUUUGGGAUAACUUCAGGAAACUGGGGCUAAUACCGGAUAGGAGCUCCUGCUGCAUGGUGAGGGUUGGAAAGUUUCGGCGGUUGGGGAUGGACUCGCGGCUUAUCAGCUUGUUGGUGGGGUAGUGGCUUACCAAGGCUUUGACGGGUAGCCGGCCUGAGAGGGUGACCGGCCACAUUGGGACUGAGAUACGGCCCAGACUCCUACGGGAGGCAGCAGUGGGGAAUAUUGCACAAUGGGCGGAAGCCUGAUGCAGCAACGCCGCGUGCGGGAUGACGGCCUUCGGGUUGUAAACCGCUUUCGCCUGUGACGAAGCGUGAGUGACGGUAAUGGGUAAAGAAGCACCGGCUAACUACGUG